rnacentral:rRNA from 1 species
UACGUAGGGUGCAAGCGUUGUCCGGAAUUAUUGGGCGUAAAGAGCUCGUAGGCGGUCUGUCGCGUCUGCUGUGAAAACUCAGGGCUUAACCCUGAGCUUGCAGUGGGUACGGGCAGACUAGAGUGCGGUAGGGGAGACUGGAAUUCCUGGUGUAGCGGUGAAAUGCGCAGAUAUCAGGAGGAACACCCGGUGGGCGAAGGCGGGUCUCUGGGCCGUAACUGACGCUGGAGGAGCGAAAGCAUGGGGAGCGAACAGGAUUAGACUACCC